rnacentral:piRNA from 1 species
CCCCUAUUGAUUGGGAGCAGGAGAUU